AACGAACGCUGGCGGCAGGCCUAACACAUGCAAGUCGAGCGCCCCGCAAGGGGAGCGGCAGACGGGUGAGUAACGCGUGGGAAUCUACCCAUCCCUACGGAACAACUCAGGGAAACUUGAGCUAAUACCGUAUACGCCCUCCGGGGGAAAGAUUUAUCGGGGAUGGAUGAGCCCGCGUUGGAUUAGCUAGUUGGUGAGGUAAUGGCUCACCAAGGCGACGAUCCAUAGCUGGUCUGAGAGGAUGAUCAGCCACACUGGGACUGAGACACGGCCCAGACUCCUACGGGAGGCAGCAGUGGGGAAUAUUGGACAAUGGGCGAAAGCCUGAUCCAGCCAUGCCGCGUGAGUGAUGACGGCCCUAGGGUUGUAAAGCUCUUUCAACGGUGAAGAUAAUGACGGUAACCGUAGAAGAAGCCCCGGCUAACUUCGUGCCAGCCGCCGCCGUAAAAC
rnacentral:rRNA from 1 species